rnacentral:rRNA from 1 species
AGCAGCCGCGGUAAUUCCAGCUCCAAUAGCGUAUAUUAAAGUUGUUGCAGUUAAAAAGCUCGUAGUUGAAUUUCGGGAUCAAUAUGUCGGUCGUGCCUUCGGUACGUACUGGUAUCAUUGGUCUCUCCUUUCUGACGAACCAUGAUGUCAUUAAUUUGGUGUUAUGGGGAGUUAGGACUGUUACUUUGAAAAAAUUAGAGUGUUUAAAGCAGGCUUUAGCUUGAAUACAUUAGCAUGGAAUAAUGAAAUAGGACGUUCGAACCUAUUUUGUUGGUUUCUAGGAUCAACGUAAUGAUUAAUAGGGAUAGUUGGGGGCAUUAGUAUUCAAUUGUCAGAGGUGAAAUUCUUGGAUUUAUUGAAGACUAACUACUGCGAAAGCAUUUUGCCAAGGAUGUUUUCAUUAAUCAAGAACGAAAGUUAGGGGAUCGAAGACGAUCAGAUACCGUCGUAGUCUUAACCAUAAACUAUGCCGACUAGGGAUCGGAUGAUGUUAAUUUUUUAAUGACUCA